UGGGGAAUAUUUCUCAAUGGAGGGAACCCUGAUGCAGCGACGCCGCGUGAACGAAGAAGGCUUUCGAGUCGUAAAGUUCUUUUAUAUGGGAAGAUAAUGACGGUACCAUAAGAAAAAGCCCCGGCUAACUACUUGCCAGCAGCCGCGGUAAUACGUAGGGGGCUAGCGUUGUCCGGAAUCACUGGGCGUAAAGGGUGCGCAGGCGGAAAUGCAAGUCAGGUGUAAAAGGCAGUAGCUUAACUACUGUAAGCAUUUGAAACUGCAUAUCGUGAGAAGAGUAGAGGUAAGUGGAAUUUUUAGUGUAGCGGUGAAAUGCGUAGAUAUUAGAAAGAAUACCGGUGGCGAAGGCGACUUACUGGGCUCAUUCUGACGCUGAGGAACGAAAGCGUGGGAAGCAAACAGG
rnacentral:rRNA from 1 species